UCCAGAGGAAUUAUGCAUUGGUGAAAUGAUCCAGUCAGAGCAGAAAAAUGUUCCAGGAGAACAAACAGAACAACACCAUGAAGUAAAAAACCAAGGACAAGAUACACAUACACGCGACCAAAUUCUGAAGAAAA